AAGUCGUAACAAGGUUUCCGUAGGUGAACCUGCGGAAGGAUCAUUAACACGUAUCCAAACGUUUAAAAAAAAAAGAAAACCCCCCUGUGAACAUUUGCUUGCUCCACCACGGCCGGUCGCUGCUGCUUGUGGGCGUUCGUGCCCCCAGGAUUACCCCGCUACCAGUCGAAACGACCAACCUGCGCAACCAUUACGUGUUGAGCCCGUGGGCGUCGUAAACCGAAAUACUUGAACAACUGUUAACAAUGGAUAUCUUGGUUCUC
rnacentral:misc_RNA from 1 species